rnacentral:misc_RNA from 1 species
GUAGAAAAUUUCAUAGUUGAUUUUUUCCAGAGGCGUUAAGAAACUCCGGUUACUUUUAUGUCCAAGAUUACAUCGACUGGCAAACUAAGGUGCGCCGGAACGAAAUGAUUAUAUCUUCUGUGACGUUUAUGAGGAUCACGAAACGGCUUUAAACGAACACGUAGCAUGAUGCAUUGUCGUGUUAGCAAUGCAGCUCUAACACAUGGCUGACCAGUCUUUCCAUAUGUGUCACGGAUCUACUUUAAAUUCAUCCAUUCGCCAACACAUUCGAGAUUCCUGGACAUAUGGUAUGGACAUAUUCAAAUGUAAUUUAGUUAGAAGAACACAGGCAAAAAGAUUGAA